ACAGCAGUAGCCGCGGUAAUACGUAGGGUGCAAGCGUUAAUCGGAAUUACUGGGCGUAAAGCGUGCGCAGGCGGUUUGUUAAGACAGAUGUGAAAUCCCCGGGCUCAACCUGGGAACUGCAUUUGUGACUGGCAGGCUAGAGUAUGGCAGAGGGGGGUGGAAUUCCGCGUGUAGCAGUGAAAUGCGUAGAUAUGCGGAGGAACACCGAUGGCGAAGGCAGCCCCCUGGGCCAAUACUGACGCUCAUGCACGAAAGCGUGGGGAGCAAACAGGAUUAGAUACCCGUGUAGUCCCUGUCUCUUAUAC
rnacentral:rRNA from 1 species